UACGUAGGGUCCGAGCGUUGUCCGGAAUUAUUGGGCGUAAAGGGCUCGUAGGCGGUUUGUCGCGUCGGGAGUGAAAACCUUGGGCUUAACUCAGGGCUUGCUUUCGAUACGGGCAGACUAGAGGUAUGCAGGGGAGAACGGAAUUCCAGGUGUAGCGGUGAAAUGCGUAGAUAUCUGGAGGAACACCGGUGGCGAAGGCGGCAUCCUGGACCGGCAUUGACGCUGAGGAGCGAAAGCCAGGGGAGCAAACGGG
rnacentral:rRNA from 1 species